CCGAGGAGUGACGUUCACGUAGCGAAGCUCCGUGAUUAUAAUACGUCACUCCGACCUGCCGCCGAAGCGCAGCUGAGGGGCGUUACCAAAA
rnacentral:sRNA from 1 species